rnacentral:rRNA from 1 species
UACGUAGGCAGCAAGCGUUGUUCGGAGUUACUGGGCGUAAAGGGUGUGUAGGCGGUUGUUUUAAGUUUGGUGUGAAAUCUCCCGGCUCAACUGGGAGGGUGCGCCGAAUACUGAAUGACUAGAGUGCGGGAGAGGAAAGUGGAAUUCCUGGUGUAGCGGUGAAAUGCGUAGAUAUCAGGAGGAACACCGGUGGUGUAAACGGCUUUCUGGACCAUAACUGACGCUGAGGCACGAAAGCUAGGGGAGCAAACAGG